ensembl:ncRNA C34F11.10 ncRNA
AGAUAGGCAGGAAGAUAGUUACAAAAUGGGGAGGCACAGACGUCUAGACGAGUCGAUGGAGCAUCCCGCACGGGGCUCAAGUGAGAUAGAGUUGUUUGCAGACCUUGUCUUUUUGCUGCUUACCUAAAUACCUCAAAAAUC